rnacentral:rRNA from 1 species
AGCUACUUGCAUCAUUGUAAUUAUGAUGCAAGAUCGACUAUGUCGAAUAAAAUUCUAGGUAGAAUUAUGAUAAUGACAUUGUCUGCCUAUGUGUCUUGACCAAAUUACGUGCCAGCAGUCGCGGUAAUACGUAGAAGACUAGUGUUAUUCAUGUUUAAUCGGUUUAAAGGGUACCUAGACGGUAAAUCAAGCCUAAAAGGAAAUAAAUGAAGGGACUAAUUUACUAGAGUUACUUAUGAGGGGGUAUUAAAGUACUGCUGGUGUAGAGAUGAAAUUCUGUCAUACCUCUUUUCAAUAGAAAAAUAAUGGCACAGGUAUAGGCGAAAGCAUCCCCUUAUGUGAUAACUGACGUUGAGGGACGAAGGCUUUGUGUAGCGAACAGGAUUAGAUACCCCAGUAGUCAAAGCAGAAAAUGAUGAAUGUCAUAGAUUAGAUAUAUAAGUUUAUUCUAUAAAUGAAAGUGUAAGCAUUCCACCUCAAGAGUAAUUUGGCAACAUUGGAACUGAAAUCAUUAGACCGUUUCUGAAACCAGUAGUGAAGUAUGUUGUUUAAUUUGAUGAUCCGCAAAAAACCUUACCACAAUUUGAAUAUUUAUAUCUUUUAUUGUUUUCUUUUUAACUUUCUUAUGAUUUUCUACUUAAAAGAAAACAAUAACAAGAAAAAAGAGGCAAUAAGAUAUAUUUACAAGCGUUGCACGGCUGUCUUCAGUUAAUGUCGCGAGACUCUGGUUAGUUCCAUUAAAUUAACGUAAACCCUUACUUUAUUUUUAUAUAGAGUAGUUCCCCGCUAUAUUGGAUAUGAU